rnacentral:sRNA from 1 species
AUUGCUUUGGAGAAGGCAACUCAGACUCCAAGGAAUACAACAGCUGCCGUGUGAAGCUUUUCUCACUUUUCCAGUGGUCGUAGCAGGAACAGCGUCUUGACCUCAAAUCAGUGACGUGAAAAGAGCUGAGUUUGAAGUGCAUAUUGGUCCUCCAUAAAGAAUGUGUAAGACCCUUUUGAGGACUUCUUUGGGAAUCGAAGGGGUCCCCGAGGAAGCAGAAGCCGAGGGACGGGGUCAUUUUUCUCCGCGUUCAGUGGAUUUCCGUCUUUUGGAAGUGGAUUUUCUUCUUUUGAUACAGGUAUUAAAUCCCUAGGUUUAAUCUCUGUUAUCUUAACAGCAGUUAGUACUUAUAAAAUCAUAAUACUCUUUUAGUUACAGUGCUUUAAAAUAUGUGUAUACCUUUCGUAGAAUAGCAUUGUGGAUUUGCCAGCUUUUUUUGGUAUACAGGUCUGCGCUUAAUAACCUACAUUUUCUCCUAAUCUUCCUAAGAAUGUCGUGCUUGGAAAUCUUCUCCUCUUAAUAUAAUAAUCAAGGCCAGAAUGUAAUGAAAUUCUUAGUUAAAAAGGGGCAACAUAUGUUCUGCAUCAGUAGGUGGAAAGUAACGCAGUUGGAAAAUCUCACUAACCUUCAUGCUGUCUAACCUCCUUUGUAGUUAAAACAAAAGUGC